CGGCAGGAUCUCUGCCCCGGGUGCGUCGCAGCCCCGGACCAAGGCGCCCGCCGGAGGACCAACCAAAACUCUUAUUGUAUACCCCCUCGCGGGUUUUUUUAUAAUCUGAGCCUUCUCGGCGCCUCUCGUAGGCGUUUCGAAAAUGAAUCAAAACUUUCAACAACGGAUCUCUUGGUUCUGGCAUCGAUGAAGAACGCAGCGAAAUGCGAUAAGUAAUGUGAAUUGCAGAAUUCAGUGAAUCAUCGAAUCUUUGAACGCACAUUGCGCCCGCCAGUAUUCUGGCGGGCAUGCCUGUCCGAGCGUCAUUUCAACCCUCGAACCCCUCCGGGGGGUCGGCGUUGGGGAUCGGCCCUGCCUUGGCGGUGGCCGUCUCCGAAAUACAGUGGCGGUCUCGCCGCAGCCUCUCCUGCGCAGUAGUUUGCACACUCGCAUCGGGAGCGCGGCGCGUCCACAGCCGUUAAACACCCAACUUCUGAAAUGUUGACCUCGGAUCAGGUAGGAAUACCCGCUGAACUUAAGCAUAUCAAUAAGCGGA
rnacentral:rRNA from 1 species